ensembl:lncRNA
UAUUAGCAGCAGCGUCAUUAGCAGCAGUCUGACAGGCCAAGAGAGAACAAGAGCAAAAGCACUUGAUUGAUUCAAUGCAAAAAAAAUGCAUCAAACAAACAAUAUUUAACAUUUAUUCCAACAGUUUAACAUAAUAAGGGCAUCUUGUUCAUACAAUUGAGUAUAUUAAUGUAUAUAUAAAUAAAUAAUGUUAUGUAAAAUGCAAUGUAAAUUUUCGGGCAAAGGGCUGUUCCCAAAAGCUGACAUUGAAACGAUAUGUCACUCAUUCAUCUUGACCAGUGAUUGGCUGACUGCUUCUUAGGCCCCAAGCCCAGCUGAGACCAGCGGAGAGGACGUCCAGGAAUCGGUGCCAACAACCCUGUAGUUGCUAAUGACACAAAGCUUUCGCCAAAAAAUCCAAAGAAAAAUAAAUACAAUCACAAAAUAUUAAUAAAAGGUAAAACAAUGAACUCAUUGGAAGUCAUUCUCAUAACUAGUGGGAUGCUUACUCGGGUAGAAUAAUAUGCCGCAAAAAACAAAAAAGCAAUUGUACAGUGUGUCAUACAACAGGGAACCAGUGUGUUCCCUCCAAUAAUAUACUGUAUGAACUCCUGCAGCACUUUAAUAACUAUGUUAUUCAAAUGUAAUCAAACCUUCCCAAAAAUAAGUCGUGGUACGGAAAGAAAUUUCCACUGAAUGAAAUAAGCUGUGGAAUAAUGUCAUUCACGUUGCUUUGCUUCCGUGUUGUUGAGUCUCCCAACUGGGCGCCAGAAAGAAAACCGCUGACUACGGAGAAGAACCUCAUGCAACAUCUAAGCUCUCAACGUCACUUUUCUUUGCUCUUCUGGCUUUUACAAUGCUUUGUUUACCCACAGCGGAGGUCGGUUUUUUAAUUAUUUUUCUUUUAUUCCCGUUUGAUUAUUAUCAUUCUAACCCAGAGGUCUUCAACAGGGAGUCUGGAAAAAACCUUCAUCCAAACCGCCCCCUUAACGCAGGUACCCAGACACAGGUAGGAGAUGCUGGAAAUAGAUAAGAAGAUUAUCAACCAGAUUAAUAGCUAUUACGUUUGGCUCAGAGGCACAGCUGUUAAACUGCUCCCACAUGCAGCAGCCAGAAAGGAGUCCAGGUUCAACCAGGCGCCGACAGCGUCCCUUCCAUUUUUCUCAUUAUGAGCCAACAUCAUGUUGAGUAUAAUUAGUACAAUACGGUAUAUUGCUUGUGCCCACCUGUCUGCAAAAAGACCGUUAAAUCAGGAAUCAGGAAACAUUUAUUACCAAAAUAUGUCAAACAUACAAGGAAUUUGUCUUGGCGGUUAGUGCGCGACAGUAGACAGACAAGACAACAGUGCACAAGUAAUAAAAUAAAGUAAAAUGAAAUGCUAAUGCAAUGGGUUAGUAGAAUAAGUGACGACAAAGUGAUGAAUUGCAGUUAAAGUGACGUGUGCAGUGUGAAGGGGAGUGACCGGUGGGAUGUUAUAGUCAGGCAGUGGGGGACCGGCUCUGUUGAUGAGCCCGACUGCCAACGGGAAGAAACUGUUGGUGUGGCGGGAGGUCUGAUGGACCUCAGCCUCCUGCCAGAUGGAAGGGGCACAAACAGGUCUUGUCCGGGGUGAGAGGGGUCGGCCACGAUCUUUUUAGCUGCUUCAGAGACCUGGAAGCGAACAAGUCCUGCAGGGACGGCAGAUUGCAGCCGAUCAGCCUCUCUGCAGAGCGGAGGACACGCUGCAGCCGGCCCUUGUCCUUGGCUGUGGCUGCAGCGUACCAGACGGUGAUGGAGGAGCAGAGGAUGGACUCCAUGAUUAGAUGAUUAAAAUGAUAUGAAUAAAAAAAACAAUGAAUUGAAAGUCAACUAAACCUGAAAAAAGGUUCAUACUAAACGUUAACCCAAUCAUCUGAAUCAUUCCAUGAUUU